GCUAUACAUGCAAGUCGAGCGGACAGAUGGGAGCUUGCUCCCUGAUGUUAGCGGCGGACGGGGAGUAACACGUGGGUAACCUGCCUGUAAGACUGGGAUAACUCCGGGAAACCGGGGCUAAUACCGGGGUUGUUUGAACCGCAUGGUUCAAACAUAAAAGGUGGCUUCGGCUACCACUUACAGAUGGACCCGCGGCGCAUUAGCUAGUUGGUGAGGUAACGGCUCACCAAGGCAACGAUGCGUAGCCGACCUGGGGGUGAUCGGCCACACUGGGACUGAGACACGGCCCAGACUCCUACGGGAGGCAGCAGUAGGGAAUCUUCCGCAAUGGACGAAAGUCUGACGGAGCAACGCCGCGUGAGUGAUGAAGGUUUUCGGACGAAAGCUCUGUUGUUAGGGAAGAACAAGUACCGUUCGAAUAGGGCGGUACCUUGACGGUACCUAACCAGAAAGCCACGGCUAACUACGUGCCAGCAGCCGCGGUAAUACGUAGGUGGCAAGCGUUUCCGAAUUAUUGGGCGUAAAGGGCUCGCAGGCGGUUUCUUAAGUCUGAUGUGAAAGCCCCCGGCUCAACCGGGGAGGGUCAUUGGAAACUGGGGAACUUGAGUGCAGAAGAGGAGAGUGGAAUUCCCGUGAGCGGUGAAAUGCGUAGAGAUGUGGAGGAACACCAGUGGCGAAGGCGACUCUCUGGUCUGUAACUGACGCUGAGGAGCGAAAGCGUGGGGAGCGAACAGGAUUAGAUACCCUGGUAGUCCACCCGUAACGAUGAGUGCUAAGUGUUAGGGGGUUUCCGCCCCUUAGUGCUGCAGCUAACGCAUUAAGCACUCCGCCUGGGGAGUACGGUCGCAAGACUGAAACUCAAAGGAAUUGACGGGGGCCCGCAAAGCGGGGAGCAUGUGGUUUAAUUCGAAGCAACGCGAAGAACCUUACCAGGUCUUGACAUCCUCUGACAAUCCUAGAGAUAGGACGUCCCCUUCGGGGGCAGAGUGACAGGUGGUGCAUGGUUGUCUCAGCUCUGUCGUGAGAUGUUGGGUUAAGUCCCGCAACGAGCGCAACCCUUGAUCUUAGUUGCCAGCAUUCAGUUGGGCACUCUAAGGUGACUGCCGGUGACAAACCGGAGGAAGGUGGGGAUGACUCAAAUCACAUGCCCCUUAUGACCUGGGCUACACACGUGCUACAAUGGACAGAACAAAGGGCAGCGAAACCGCGAGGUUAAGCCAAUCCCACAAAUCUGUUCUCAGUUCGGAUCGCAGUCUGCAACCGACUGCGUAAGCUGGAAUCGCUAGUAAUCGCGGAUCAGCAUGCCGCGGUGAAUACGUUCCCGGGCCUUGUACACACCGCCCGUCACACCACGAGAGUUUGUAACACCCGAAGUCGGUGAGGUAACUUUAGGAGCCGCCGCCGAAGGUGACAGAG
rnacentral:rRNA from 1 species